AUUGAACGCUGGCGGCAGGCCUAACACAUGCCAGUCGAGCGGAUGAAGGGAGCUUGCUCCUGGAUUCAGCGGCGGACGGGUGAGUAAUGCCUAGGAAUCUGCCUGGUAGUGGGGGAUAACGUCCGGAAACGGGCGCUAAUACCGCAUACGUCCUGAGGGAGAAAGUGGGGGAUCUUCGGACCUCACGCUAUCAGAUGAGCCUAGGUCGGAUUAGCUAGUUGGUGGGGUAAAGGCCUACCAAGGCGACGAUCCGUAACUGGUCUGAGAGGAUGAUCAGACACACUGGAACUGAGACACGGUCCAGACUCCUACGGGAGGCAGCAGUGGGGAAUAUUGGACAAUGGGCGAAAGCCUGAUCCAGCCAUGCCGCGUGUGUGAAGAAGGUCUUCGGAUUGUAAAGCACUUUAAGUUGGGAGGAAGGGCAGUAAGUUAAUACCUUGCUGUUUUGACGUUACCAACAGAAUAAGCACCGGCUAACUUCGUG
rnacentral:rRNA from 1 species